UUUAAUCUCAGGCUUAGUAGCUUCAGUUCAGAGCUAAAGAACUCUUCAGAAAUUUUAAGCAGCUUCAGUUCACAGCUAAAGAACUCCUCAGAAAUUUCAAGAGCAUUUAAUCACAGCUUUAGCAGCUUCAGUUCAGAGCUAAAGAACUCUUCAGAGAUUUAAAGAACAGAGUGGUAACCCAGCACCAUGUAGUUCAGGCAAUACCCAAGUGCAACUCGCACCCGGUAAAACGGCUAGCGGCCACAAAUGGAAGUGAACAGGCUCUGUGCCUAUUGGGUAUGAGGAACAAAGGAAAAGAGAUUGUAGACACAAGUGCCAUCAGGCGUGCGAGGACGCAAAAGAGGGUGGGCCAA